GAUGAACGCUGGCGGCGUGCCUAACACAUGCAAGUCGAGCGAACAGACGAUGAGCUUGUUCUCCUAACGUUAGCGGCGGACGGGUGUGUAACACAUGGAUCACCAACCUAUAUGACUGGGAUAACUUCGGGAGACCGGUGCUAAUACCGGAUAAUAUAUUGAACCGGAUGGAUCAAUAGUGAAAGACGGUUUUGCUGUCAGUAUUAGCCGCAUCCGCGCCGCAUUGGUUGGUUGGUAAGGUAACGGCCUACCAAGGCGACGAUGCGUAGCAGAGCUGAGAGGUGGAUCAGCCACACUGGAACUGAGACACGGUCCAGACUCCUACGGUAGGCAGCAGUAGGGAAUAUUAGGCAAUGGGCGAAAGCUUGACAGAGCAAUACCGCGUGGGUGAUGAAGGUCUUCGGAUUGUAAAGCUCUCUUGUUAGGGAAGAACAGCUGCAGAAUGAAACGCAGAUGUACUGACGGUACCGAAUAAAAAAGCAACGGCUAACUACGUG
rnacentral:rRNA from 1 species